AUUGAACGCUGGCGGAAUGCUUUACACAUGCAAGUCGAACGGCAGCACGGGGGCAGCCCUGGUGGGGAGUGGCGAACGGGUGGGUAAUACAUCGGAACGUGCCCGGUCGUGGGGGAUAACGUAGCGAAAGUUACGCUAAUACCGCAUCCGAUCUGAGGAUGAAACCGGGGACCUUCGGGCCUCGCGCGGUCGGAGCGGCCGAUGUCAGAUUAGGUAGUUGGUGGGGUAAAGGCCUACCAAGCCGACGAUCUGUAGCUGGUCUGAGAGGACGACCAGCCACACUGGGACUGAGACACGGCCCAGACUCCUACGGGAGGCAGCAGUGGGGAAUUUUGGACAAUGGGCGCAAGCCUGAUCCAGCCAUUCCGCGUGCAGGACGAAGGCCUUCGGGUUGUAAACUGCUUUUGUACGGAACGAAAAGGCUCUGGCUAAUACCUGGGGCUCAUGACGGUACCGUAAGAAUAAGCACCGGCUAACUACGUG
rnacentral:rRNA from 1 species